rnacentral:rRNA from 1 species
ACCGCAACCGGUCGACAUGUGGUUUAUUCGAUGCAACGCGAAGAACCUUACCUGGUCUUGACAUCCACAGAACUUUCCAGAGAUGGAUUGGUGCCUUCGGGAACUGUGAGACAGGUGCUGCAUGGCUGUCGUCAGCUCGUGUUGUGAAAUGUUGGGUUAAGUCCCGCAACGAGCGCAACCCUUAUCCUUUGUUGCCAGCGGUUCGGCCGGGAACUCAAAGGAGACUGCCAGUGAUAAACUGGAGGAAGGUGGGGAUGACGUCAAGUCAUCAUGGCCCUUACGACCAGGGCUACACACGUGCUACAAUGGCAUAUACAAAGAGAAGCGACCUCGCGAGAGCAAGCGGACCUCAUAAAGUAUGUCGUAGUCCGGAUUGGAGUCUGCAACUCGACUCCAUGAAGUCGGAAUCGCUAGUAAUCGUAGAUCAGAAUGCUACGGUGAAUACGUUCCCGGGCCUUGUACACACCGCCCGUA